CUCUGACUCAGUCCCACUAGCUCCUGCCUCGCCGCCUGGCAGCGCCGCUGCCGUGAGCCCGGGUGGCGUUUGCGCGGGGCGGGGCGGGAAAGGAGCCGCCGAGGCUGAGGAAUUCCAACUCAUGACUAACAAGCUUGGACUGCGUGGAGAUCCGCCUUGAAGAAGGGGGGGUGGGGAGUGGGAAUAAAAACCCAAUUUUGCACUGGCUCUGGCAGGCGGGAGGCCAAGGGCUGAAUGGAGGGGGUGUGAGGAGGCGGGGGGGGGCCCUGCUCUGCAAAAGCAACGCAAGCCCACAUCUCCCUUUGCCCCUUCCUCAGGGCCAAGUGCACCUCCACCCUUGGUGGCACAAGUCAAGGGGAUGUGUGAUAGAGGCGGCCGUGGAGGAAGCCUCCUCAGCACACCUGCAAGAGCCUUCUUCCUCUGAGCGCAGACUCUGCCGAGUUGCAGCUCUCAACGGAAAAACAAUCUUUCCUCCUACGGUUGGUUGGUGUGUUUAUCCCUGUGCGCACAGAUGUGAUGGAUAGACGAUUGGCACCUUCCUUCCCCCACGCCCACCCCUCUUUCUUUCCCCCAUUGAAAUCAGGAGGAACCCCAGUGGGAGGAGAGGAGCACAAUCAGCAAGGCUAGUACAACACUCUUCCAGGUAACAACACAGAGCACUGUCAAGAUUGCUUUUAUCCUAACAGUCAAUCAAUGAAUUUAUGUAGAUUUGCCAUCCCAAACAGAGGGUACAAAUCUUUCUUUGCUCAACAACUCUGUAAUUCUACCUUUGUCAAAUGAAGACAAUAAACCAGAAAGAUUAAUGUACAUUUUCUUCUUAGUAAUAAAUUCAAUUGUCAAAUGCAGAGAACUUUUUUAUUCA